rnacentral:rRNA from 1 species
CCUACGGGCGGCUGCAGUAGGGAAUCUUCCACAAUGGGCGAAAGCCUGAUGGAGCAACGCCGCGUGUGUGAUGAAGGCUUUCGGGUCGUAAAGCACUGUUGUAUGGGAAGAACAGCUAGAAUCGGAAAUGAUUUUAGUUUGACGGUACCAUACCAGCAAGGGACGGCUAACUACGUGCCCGCACGCGCGUUAAUACGUAUGUCCCGAGCGUUAUCCGGAUUGAUUGGGCGUAAAGCGAGCGCAGGCGGUUUAUUUAGUCAGGUGUGAAAGCCCGGAGCUCAACUCCGGAAUUGCAUUGGAAACUGGAUAACUUGAGUGCAGUAGAGGUAAGUGGAACUCCAUGUGUAGCGGUGAAAUGCGUAGAUAUAUGGAAGAACACCAGUGACGAAGGCGGCUCACUGGACUGCUACUGACGUUGAGGUUCGAAAGUGUGGGUAGCAAACAGGAUUAGAUACCCUAGUAGUC